rnacentral:rRNA from 1 species
UGGGGAAUUUUGCACAAUGGGGGAAACCCUGAUGCAGCGACGCCGCGUGAUUUAGAAGGCCUUCGGGUUGUAAAAAUCUUUUGUAUGGGAAGAAAAUGACAGUACCAUACGAAUAAGGACCGGCUAAUUACGUGCUAGCAGCCGCGGUAAUACGUAAGGUCCGAGCGUUGUCCGGAAUCAUUGGGCGUAAGGGUACGUAGGCGGAUAAGCAAGUUAGAAGUGAAAUCCUAUAGCUCAACUAUAGUAAGCUUUUAAAACUGCUCAUCUUGAGGUAUGGAAGGGAAAGUGGAAUUCCUAGUGUAGCGGUGAAAUGCGCAGAUAUUAGGAGGAAUACCGGUGGCGAAGGCGACUUUCUGGCCAUAUACUGACGCUGAGGUACGAAAGCGUGGGUAGCAAACAGG